rnacentral:rRNA from 1 species
GAUGAACGCUGGCGGCGUGCUUAACACAUGCAAGUCGAACGGAAAGGCUCCUGCUUGCAGGGGUACUCGAGUGGCGAACGGGUGAGUAACACGUGGGUGAUCUGCCCUGCACUUCGGGAUAAGCCUGGGAAACUUGGUCUAAUACCGGCUAGGACGAUGGUUUGGAUGCCAUUGUGGACAGUUUUUCGGUGUGGGAUGAGCUCGCGGCCUAUCAGCUUGUUGGUGGGGUAAUGGCCUACCAAGGCGUCGACGGGUAGCCGGGCUGAGAGGGUGUACGGCCACAUUGGGACGGGGAUACGGCCCAGAGGCCGACGGGGGGCAGCAGUGGGGAAUAUGGCACGAUGGGCGCAAGCCUGAUGCAGCGACGCCGCGUGGGGGAUGACGGCCGUCGGGUUGUAAACUGCUGUCGCUAGGGACGAAGCGCAAGUGACGGUACCUGGAGAAGAAGCACCGGCUAACUACGUG